rnacentral:rRNA from 1 species
AGAGUUUGAUCAUGGCUCAGGACGAACGCUGGCGGCGUGCUUAACGCAUGCAAGUCGAACGAUGAACCGAGAGCUUGCUCUUGGGGAUUAGUGGCGAACGGGUGAGUAACACGUGAGUAACCUGCCCUGGACUCUGGGAUAACCCCGAGAAAUCGGAGCUAAUACCGGAUAGGACCCUGUACCGCAUGGUGUGGGGUGGAAAGUUUUUUUCGGUUUGGGAUGGACUCGCGGCUUAUCAGCUUGUUGGUGAGGUAAUGGCUCACCAAGGCGUCGACGGGUAGCCGGCCUGAGAGGGUGACCGGCCACACUGGGACUGAGACACGGCCCAGACUCCUACGGGAGGCAGCAGUGGGGAAUAUUGCACAAUGGGCGCAAGCCUGAUGCAGCAACGCCGCGUGCGGGAUGACGGCCUUCGGGUUGUAAACCGCUUUUAGUAAGGAAGAAGGGGAGUUUGACUCCUUGACGGUACUUGCAGAAAAAGGACCGGCUAACUACGUGCCAGCAGCCGCGGUAAUACGUAGGGUCCGAGCGUUGUCCGGAAUUAUUGGGCGUAAAGAGCUCGUAGGCGGUUUGUCGCGUCUGCUGUGAAAUCCCGAGGCUCAACCUCGGGUCUGCAGUGGGUACGGGCAGACUGGAGUGCGGUAGGGGAGAAUGGAAUUCCUGGUGUAGCGGUGGAAUGCGCAGAUAUCAGGAGGAACACCGAUGGCGAAGGCAGUUCUCUGGGCCGUAACUGACGCUGAGGAGCGAAAGC